GAAAAGAAACCAACAGGGAUUGCCUCAGUAACGGCGAGUGAAGCGGCAACAGCUCAAAUUUGAAAUCUGGCUCUUUCAGGGUCCGAGUUGUAAUUUGUAGAGGAUGUUUCGGGUGUGGCUCCGGUCUAAGUUCCUUGGAACAGGACGUCAUAGAGGGUGAGAAUCCCGUAUGUGACUGGUAGCCUAUGCUCAUGUGAAACUCCUUCGACGAGUCGAGUUGUUUGGGAAUGCAGCUCAAAAUGGGUGGUAAAUUUCAUCUAAAGCUAAAUAUUGGCCAGAGACCGAUAGCGCACAAGUAGAGUGAUCGAAAGAUGAAAAGCACUUUGGAAAGAGAGUUAAACAGUACGUGAAAUUGUUGAAAGGGAAGCGCUUGCAACCAGACUUGCAUGUAGCUGAUCAACCGGUGUUCUCACCGGUGCACUCAGUUGCGUUCAGGCCAGCAUCGGUUUCGACGGUUGGAUAAAGGCCUUGGGAAUGUAGCUUCUUUCGGGGAGUGUUAUAGCCCAGGGUGCAAUGCAGCCUGUCGGGACCGAGGACCGCGCUUCGGCUAGGAUGCUGGCGUAAUGGUUGUAAGCGACCCGUCUUGAAACACGGACCAAGGAGUCUAACAUCUAUGCGAGUGUUUGGGUGUCAAACCCAUACGCGUAAUGAAAGUGAACGGAGGUGAGAACCCUUAAGGGUGCAUCAUCGACCGAUCCUGAUGUCUUCGGAUGGAUUUGAGUAAGAGCAUAGCUGUUGGGACCCGAAAGAUGGUGAACUAUGCCUGAAUAGGGUGAAGCCAGAGGAAACUCUGGUGGAGGCUCGCAGCGGUUCUGACGUGCAAAUCGAUCGUCAAAUUUGGGUAUAGGGGCGAAAGACUAAUCGAACCAUCUAGUAGCUGGUUCCUGCCGAACUUCCCUCAGGAA
rnacentral:rRNA from 1 species